AACGAACGCUGGCGGCAGGCUUAACACAUGCAAGUCGAACGCCCCGCAAGGGGAGUGGCAGACGGGUGAGUAACGCGUGGGAGUCUACCCAGUUCUACGGAACAACACAGGGAAACUUGUGCUAAUACCGUAUACGCACUAAGUGGGAAAGAUUUAUCGGAAUUGGAGGAGCGCGCGUUGGAUUAGCUAGUUGGUGGGGUAAUGGCCUACCAAGUCGACGACCCAUAGCUGGUCCGAGAGGAAGCUCAGCCACACUGGGACUGAGACACGGCCCAGACUCCUACGGGAAGCAGCAGUGGGGAAUAUUGGACAAUGGGCGCAAGCCUGAUCCAGCCAUGCCGGGUGAGUGAUGAAGGCCUUAGGGUUGUAAAGCUCUUUCAGUAGGGACGAUAAUGACGGUACCUACAGAAGAAGCCCCGGCUAACUUCGUGCCAGCCGCCGCCGUAA
rnacentral:rRNA from 1 species